rnacentral:rRNA from 1 species
CUGAGUACAAGCCACAUUAAGGUGAAACCGCGAAAGGCUCAUUAAAUCAGUUAUGGUUCCUUAGAUCGUACCCACACUUACUUGGAUAACUGUGGUAAUUCUAGAGCUAAUACAUGCAAACAGAGCUCCGACCGGAGACGGGAGGAGUGCUUUUAUUAGAUCAAAACCAAUCGGCGGCGGGCGCGUUCGCGCGUCCGUUCGCCGCUCAACCUGGUGACUCUGAAUAACUUUCGGCUGAUCGCACGGUCUCGCACCGGCNACGCAUCUUUCAAAUGUCUGCCUUAUCA